AUGGCCAGGUAUUUCUGGAGUAGCAAUAUCGACAGGCGUUUGAUGCAUUGGCUUUCAUGGAAGAAGUUAGCCACCCCGAAGAAGCAGGGGGGGAUGGGGUUUAGGGAUCUUGAGGCUUUUAAUCUCGCGCUGUUGGGGAAACAUGGCUGGAGGUUCAUGUUACAACCGGAGAGUUUAUGUUCUCGAGUUAUGAAAUCGAGAUACUUCCCAGAUUCAGACUUCAUGACUGCUACAAUUCCGAAGACGGCUUCACCUAUCUGGAGGGCGAUUGUUGCAGGCCGCAAGGCGUUGAAGCUUGGACUGAUCAAGAGGGUGGGAGAUGGCUCCACGAUCUCCAUCUGGGAGGAUAAGUGGAUCCCA
rnacentral:rRNA from 1 species